rnacentral:rRNA from 1 species
UACGAAGGGGGCUAGCGUUGCUCGGAAUCACUGGGCGUAAAGGGUGCGUAGGCGGGUCUUUAAGUCAGGGGUGAAAUCCUGGAGCUCAACUCCAGAACUGCCUUUGAUACUGAAGAUCUUGAGUUCGGGAGAGGUGAGUGGAACUGCGAGUGUAGAGGUGAAAUUCGUAGAUAUUCGCAAGAACACCAGUGGCGAAGGCGGCUCACUGGCCCGGUUCUGACGCUGAGGUGCGAAAGCGUGGGGAGCAAACAGG